UACAGAGGGGGCAAGCGUUAUUCGGAAUUAUUGGGCGUAAAGGGCGCGUAGGCGGUUUCGUAAGUAAGAUGUGUAAUCCCCGAGCUUAACUUGGGAACUGCAUCUUAGACUGCGAGGCUAGAGUGCUGGAGAGGGUGGUAGAAUUCCACGUGUAGCGGUGAAAUGCGUAGAGAUGUGGAGGAAUACCAGUGGCGAAGGCGGCCACCUGGACAGUAACUGACGCUGAGGCGCGAAAGUGUGGGUAG
rnacentral:rRNA from 1 species